UACGGGGGGGCAAGCGUUGUUCGGAAUUACUGGGCGUAAAGGGCUCGUAGGCGGCCAACUAAGUCAGACGUGAAAUCCCUCGGCUUAACCGGGGAACUGCGUCUGAUACUGGAUGGCUGGAGUAUGGGAGAGGAAUGCGGAAUUCCUGGUGUAGCGGUGGAAUGCGCAGAUAUCAGGAGGAACACCGGUGGCGAAGGCGGGUCUCUGGGCAGUAACUGACGCUGAGGAGCGAAAGCGUGGGGAGCGAACAGG
rnacentral:rRNA from 1 species